CCCCAAAGCUGCUGCUGCUCAGAGGUGACACCCCCUCUUGGUGUGGGACUCAGGGUCCAGCCUGGAGUCUGACAGCUGCAACUCCAGGAAGGGGUUGAGACAGGAGAGCCCGGCCCCAGCUUCCUCUGGGCGGGGCACCCACACCACAAGUUCUUAGGCCACCGGGGCAGUGGCCCCAGAUGCCAGCUUGCCCGAAGGGAGCCUGACGCUAGGAGGAGCCAUGGGAGGCAUCCAGCUUGCUCUGCUGCUCUUCCUGCUGGGCUGGGAGCGAGGCCUCAGCCUGCAGUGCUACAACUGUACUAAGAACAUGGAUAGAGCCAAAGGGUGCCAGCCCGCCCAGUGUGCCACAUCUGACAGCAUCUGCGUCAGGGUUAAGUUGACCAUGGCCUUUAGCAAUGGAACCAGAAACCACGAGCAGUACAAGGGCUGCGUACCCUCCUGUGCGGAGAUCAAACAAGAAAUGAGCCUGAUCUCCGGGCAUAUCAUUCCGGAGACCGAGAACGAGCCCGUCGCCAUGAUGUAUAUAGUGAAGGAGGUGACUUGCUGUGAAGAGGACCUGUGUAACGGGGGACCCCGGCCCAGGCGCAGCCCCUGGGCCCUGGCGGCGGGGCUCCUGCUCAGCCUCGGGCCCGCCUGCCUCUGGGCCCUGCUGUGAGCGCCCGGCUGGCCACGCAAACCAGGGAACCACGCGGGGUGCUUCAUGCCGCGGGUCCUGGAGCAAGCGCGCGGGUACACCUGCGCAUGCGUACAUAUGCACCCGCACGCACACUCACACACGCGCGCGCGCGUGCACAUUUGCACCAGUUCGCACGCGCACAGAUGCACGCACACAUUCACACGUGCACAGGCUCUCCUGCACCCCCCACCCCCACCAGCCUGCCCCGUUUUGCAAACACCAUCAGUUGACCACUGACCCAGGACGCAGGGGCCGCUAGUCCCGACAGCGCCGCCCGGGGUCCCUCCAACGGGGUGCCAACGACGGAGGGAGAAUAAACGCUUUCUACACCCCGGUGUUCUUCGCUUGCCAUUGGACCCGGCAGGGCAGGGCGGGGGCUGGUGUGGCCUGCCCGGGAGGGGGCUCAACUUCCGCGUGGUUCUCCCUGAGCCGGGCGAGCCCCUGUGGCCCGAGGGACUAUGACCGGGGUCAGCUCUGCGCGGCCGGGACCCUCCCCGGGGGCAUCCGCCCAGGGCGUCCGGUGGCCUAUUCAUGGGAGCGGGGUGAGCACCCUCCGCAGAGGCAGGGGCAGGUUGGGGAGGGGGGCCUGGGCCGGGUCCUCCCUCCUCACCCCAGCAGCCACACACCCUGAUGAGGGCGUGUAUGCGGGCAGGGCUGCUCUGCGGGCAGAGGAGUUAGAAGAACCAGGGCUGGUGGGCCCGUCUCCAGCCCGCUGAUGUCGCCACGCUGUCCCCGGGUGACCUGGGGCCCACUUCCCUGGCCUGCCCCGGGGACCUCUCUCUGGCGACCGGGGCCCUGGGCGCACGCUGGGUCCCCUGCCCCUGCGGCAGCCACGGCCAGAGCCGCU
rnacentral:lncRNA from 1 species